rnacentral:hammerhead_ribozyme from 1 species
UACUAGUUGAAGAGUCCCAUAAUAGGACGAAACGGCCGUCCAGUGC